UUUACUUCUUAAAUUUAAUUAAUUGCCUUGUACGCUUGAGUGCCCUUCCUGCAAGGACCGAUUUGUGGUCCGCAGUAUGUUAUAAAUAAAAUAAAUAAAAAGAAUAGCAAUACGGAAAAUGUUC
rnacentral:lncRNA from 1 species